CCAGUUUUCACUUCACUCCUCUUCAGCGGCUGAAGUUCGGGCUCUUCUCUCCUUCCCUCGUUCUGUCAAUUGCUUGAUUUGUUUCAAUUCUCAACUCAUAUCACCAAUAACGAAAGAUCUAUUUGGUGACCUUGCUACUUCUUCCAUCAGUUUAGAUGAUUGAUUCCUAUUGGGUUAGAUAAUGCUUCCAGCGCAUUCUGGGGUGAAAUGUCUAUAUUUUUCGAUGGAGGAAGCUGGUCGCUUGAUAUGAAUCACAUCACAUGAUCUUUCCUUUCUUCUGCUACUAGAUUUAGUAUAGAAGAGUAUCCAAUAGACUAGUAAUUCACCUUUUUAGCUUUUAGAAGUGGAACUCAUUUUUAUUUUGUAAACACUUU